rnacentral:rRNA from 1 species
GACGAACGCUGGCGGCGUGCUUAACACAUGCAAGUCGAACGAAGUGGAGAACGGGUGAGUAAUACGGGGGUAACCUGCCCUCCUUUUUGGGAUAAGCCUUGGAAACGGGGGCUAAUACAGAAUAAAGGGGGAUGGGCUCGCGGCCUAUCAGCUUGUUGGUGGGGUGAUGGCCUACCAAGGCGGUGACGGGUAGCCGGCCUGAGAGGGUGACAGGCCACAGUGGGACUGAGAGACGGCCCAGACUCCUACGGGAGGCAGCAGUGGGGGAUAUUGCACAAUGGGCGAAAGCCUGAUGCAGCGACGCCGCGUGGCGUAUGAAGGAUUUCGGGUUGUAAACCUCUUUCGCUAUCUAAAGGGUAGGUGGAGAAGAAGCGCCGGCUAACUACGUGCCAGCAGCCGCGGUAAUAC